rnacentral:lncRNA from 1 species
UGGAAAUAAAUGCAGAAUAAAAGGUUGAAAUACCAUACGGUUCAAAAUCUAAAAUACUGAUAAUGACUAACAACAUCCGAAUCUGAAAUACUAUCUGAAAACUAGUUUGAAUACCUCUAAUCUGACUGUCUGAAAGUGGAGUUGAUGGGACAAUCCCCCAACUAACUCCAUCUACUGAAAAUAUAAAAUAAUAGAAUAUCCUGAAAGAUGAGGACUCGCUGCUAAAUCUAUUGCUUCUGGCUGAAUCUGAAUCUACUAUGUGUGGUUGGGAACCUGAGCGUCCGAACCUAUGAUAUGAAAAAUCAUAAUGUAGAAAGUAUACGUCAGUACAUGAGAAUGUACUGGUAUUCUAGAUGAGGCAAGGCUGAAUGCAAGGGUUAUUAUGCAUGAGGAUGUAACUGACUGAGUGAAAUAACUGAACAUGAGAGUACAUGAGGAAUCUGAGACUACUGUAAAUACUAAAAAUGCAAUCUAUGCAUAUACAUAAAUAUAUAAAUUGAGCCUUUAUGAAGCUAAGUAUUGAAUUCUGUUAUGUGAUUAACUGAUUCUGAUUGACUAUAUCUGACAGUCCUGAUUCUGUAAAACUGAGCUGAGUUCUGACCUGAAGAAUGAAACUCAAAUUGUGGGAGGUAUUAUCUAACCUACAUGCCCUAAUAUGAACUAAUAGGGGUCCAAUCUAUAACCCCAAUUGGAAGGGUAUUAGUACCGUGCCACGGGUAAAGACAACUAUUGUGGAGUCAGUCCUCCCCUGAGAUCAAUCCUAAACUAGUGGGUGAUCCCUGAGUAUGUCACUCCUAUUUAACAGGUGACAUCACACAACCUACAUUGGCUACGUAUUUCUGGAACUUAAGGAUUGCUUCUAGGGACCCAGUCCUAACUAACGGGUGUGUCCCCAUCCCUAGGUUCGCUUGGUGCUGAAUUCUACUCUUAACUGAAAGACACUAAACUGAGUAUACUGAACUGGACUAGACUGAUACUGAGAUUACUGAUUUUUUCUAACUUUUGUAACUGACUGAAUUCUAUUGAGUUCUAUAACAAACUGAGAGUACUACUGAUCAUGACAUGAUUGAUACUAUUCUGUAACUGACACUGGCUCUAGAUAAACAGCUAAAUUAUUAGGUAUUAAAUACCUCCAGGAAUCUAGAGCAUGAAAAGUAAAGCAAAGCAUAAUCUUGAAUAACAUAUAAAUGUUCACUUGGCCAUAAUUCAUUCAUAGAGACAUUCCAUCAAACACUUGUAAUGCAUUAACUUGUACAUGAAUGGGGAAUACAUGUUAGCAUGCUAUGAUGGCAUUAUCUCAUUCUCAUAGACAAUUUAUCAAACACAUGGGAAGCAUACUUGGUUCAUUCAGUCAUAAACACUUAGGGUUAACAAGGAUACCACAAUCAACUUGCAAUUUGAAGGGUUUAUCAUGAAUAUCAUGUAAAUCAACACAUACUAGGAACAAUUCUUGGGAGCUUGGAAUUUAAAUCAUGGCUAACACAUAAUCAUGGCAAUUACAAUGCCCAAACUUGCAAAUUCAUGAAUUAUAACAUGGGGAUUACUCAAUUCAAUAUACAUGCUAUUCAACUUCAUGGAAUCUACCAUUAAUCAUGAAUUGAAACUCAAUAAAUGUCAAAAUAUAAACACAAUCUAAUUUCAUACAUAUAAAUCAUAAAUCAUAAUUCUUGAAGUUUUAAAAAUAGAUUCUUUGACUCUAUGGGUGAAAGGGACCCAUAGAUGAACACCUAACAUACCUUAAAGCUUUAAUCUUAAGAGAGAAUUAAGGUUUCUUGAACGUUCUUGGAUUGGGAAACACAAAUCUUGAUGUUUUCUUGAUGGUUCUUGAACUUGAAAAACUUGAAUUUCUUAGUUUCUUGAAGAAGGGUUUGAAUCUUUUUCUUGGGAAAUGAUCUUGAAAUAAACCAUAAUUUAGAUGUUCAAGAUGAAUUAGGAGUUAUGGUCUUUAAUUUGAUGGAAUUAAAGGUUAAGAAGGGUGGGAAAAUCCCCAAAAAAUCCUUUAAAAACGUCUUUAAAUUGCUAAACGGAGGUGGUUGAUUGUUUGGACAACGGACCGUCACUCUGGUGACUAAUCAUCACUCAAACCAUUAGUUUUUGGCCAUAAAAUAGGCUUAAUACCUCAGUUGUGAUGGUUUGAUUGAUAGGCCAUCGCUGGCUUGACGGUCCGUCAGCCUGGCCGUCGCACCUCGACAGGUUGACAGCUCUCUAGUAAAAUGGGCAUAACUUUUUACUCCGAUACCGGAUUUUGGAAAAAUUGAUAUUGUUGAAAAGAUAAUUCAAUUAUCUAUCUGAUGGUGGGUCAUUAACUCAAAAAUUUAAGAAAGAUAUGCUCAUUUGAAGUUGACUAUAGCGAUAUCCUUCUCAAGAAUUCAAUCGAUAAGGGAUGUUUUGAUUAGCCUAAUAGCUAGGACGUAUUUGAGGCCUUAAUACAUAUCAACUUGAUCAUAAAACUAUCAAAUAACUAAAAUUUAUUUCUCAUGAGCUUUAAGCAUGGUUCUACUAUCGGUUGGAAUUCUCGGGGUAUUACAUAUAGAGUGUUCAUUGAUCAUAGUUCGAGCCAUGUCUUGAAGAGUUCUAUUUUUUUGUUCAACCACACUAUUUUAUUGAGAGGAUCUUGAAGCAGAGAAGUUAUAAGUAUAUCUAUGAGUACUACAAAAGAUUUCAAAAUCUUUAUUCUCAAACUCUCCCCCGUGAUCACUUCUAAUAGCAGAAAUAUAGUAACCCUUGUAACUUUGAAUCUUUUCACAGAAAACUUAAAAAUUCUUAAAGGUAUCAUAUUUGCUAGCUAAAAACAUGACACAAGUAAAUUGAGAAUAAUUAUCAAUGAUCACAAAAGCAUACCUUUUAGUACCAACACUACCAGUUUUAAUUGGACCAAAUAUAUUCAUAUGAAGUAGCUACAAAGGUUUAGUUGCGGAAAUAAUAUCUUUAACAUGAAAUAAAUUUCUAGUUUUCUUAUCUAGCUAACAGUCAUCACAACUAUGAGUUUUUUUGAAUCAAGAUUUGAAAAUCCAGUCACAAGUUCAUGCUUGACUAAUUUUUCAGUAUGCCUCAUGCUUGCAUGACCAAGUUUUCCAUGCCAAAACUAGGAAUCAUCAGAGAUUGAGGCAAGAUAUAUAUGUCCUUCUGUCCUUUUGAUGGAGUCUAAAACAUACACAUUUCUAUGUCUAUUUUCAGCAAGAAUCUGCCUUUCAUAUUUUUCAAUUAUGCACUCUUUCUUUUUAAACCUUACCUCCAAUCCAGCAUCACACAGAUGAUUGAUGCUUAGCAGGUUGUACUUCGAGUCUCUAAUUAAAUAUACAUUAAUAAUAUCACACAAAUUAUUAAAAGAGAUAGUACUAAUACCUAUUACUUUGCCUUGGAGUUAUCUCCAAAGUUGAUGACACCCCAUUAAAAUCAGUUAUUGUCUCAAAUAAAUUUUUGCUUUCAGUCAUGUGAUUUGAACACCCAGCAUCAAGAUACCAUUUUCUUUAGAUUUUAAGAGGAGUUCCUGCAAAACAAAUGUUUUACUUAUUUUUAGGUACCCAAGCAUUCUGGUUGGAUUCUCCAAUUGCCAUGAAACAACAGUCUCCAGUGUUAUCAUUUUCAUGUUUUGAUUGUUCAUCAUCACCUCAGCAGUUGAAUAACUUUUGAUUUUCUUUGAAUGUCCUCUUCUAGCUUCUGGACAGUCAUAAGCAACAUGACCAUAUCUACUACAAUUAUAGCACUUACCUUUAUUUUCGUUCUAAUCAGCAUGUUGUUUUCCUAGCGAGUACUUUAAUUUUUCCCUUCUUUGAUUCUUGGAUCUUAUGUAAUUUUCAUCAACUAUCCUUGUGAUCAGAGCAAGCUCAUCUUCAUCUAGGGUAUCAUCCUCUUCUUUAUUAGUGGCUCUGAAGGCCACAAUUUUCUUCUUUCCUUUUGUUAUUGGUCCUUCUUAUUUAGGUGGGCCUUUUCCAAGGCAAUGAGGUCUCCUCUGACUUCAUCAUAGGUCAUGUUAUUCAAGUUCAUGCUUUUAAGAGCCAUUACCUUGAAAAGUCACAGAGGAGGCAACUUCUAAGAAUCCUUGUAAUCUGACCCACAUGAUAGGUUUUUCCAGUAGCUUUGAGUUCCCCAACAAGUUUGCCAAACCUUAGAAAUGUUUCUUCAAUGGAUUCAACAUCUUUCAUCUUGAAAAUUUCAUAGUCAUAGACUAAUAAACUUACAAGAGUUUGUUUGACCUUCUCAGUUCCUUCAUAUUCCACUUUCAAUUUAUCCCAUAUUUCUUUGGCAAUUUCACACCAGGAGAUCUUUUCAUAUUCUUCACCAUAGGUUGCAUUAUACAGAACAUUCUUUACCUUAUAGUUGAUCUGAUUGUUCGCUAUACCUGGACUCUAGUAAUAGUUGUUGGGCUUAACCAACCCAAAGAUACUCUUACAUGGUGUGAUAUUGUCUGUUUUGAAUUAAGCCCACACGAUUUAUUUUUUUCAAAAGUCCUCACACCUUUAAGACAUCAUACACCUUAUAUGUAAUUUUUCAAUUCUUUCAGUUAUCAAUGUGGGACUGUGGAUCACACACCAAACAUUUGUGUUAGAGCACUUUUCUCCAAUCUUCACUUGUUGAUGCACUUCUCAUCAAGCUUUAAUUGUUGAGGCAUUUCUCUUCAACCUUCAAUUGUUGAACUACUUCUCUCCAACUUUUGUUAUUAUUUUUUUGAUUGUGUUGGAGCAUUUCUCUCCAACUAUAAAUAUAUAGUUGAUGCACUUCUCAUCAACACCCGUUGUUUUUUUCUUGAUUGUGUUGGAGCACUUCUUUCAAACUUCCAGUAGUUAAAGCACUUCCCUUCAAUAUUCUAUUGUUGGAGUACUUCUCUCCAAAUCUUGUCGUUGAUGCACUUUGUCUUCCAUGCCCAAUUUUGUUGAUCCACUUGUAAUCAACUUUCAAUUUUUAUGUCCACCUCUAUCCAAUUUUAAAAAGAAAUUUCUUCACUUGUCCAUGUUUCCUUGAACUUUUUUAUACCUAUAAUAUUUUUGUCAGUCCUUCUUAGCAUGACUGUUUUUCAUGCAUAUAUUAUUGAAUCACUUUUGCUAAUAUUAUCAUUGGCCAGACAGGCAACACAUAUAAAUUAUAGUCAUUCGCCGGUGAUAGAAGCUUUUUGAUUCUCUAUUAGGAUCGUAGAAAUUCUGAUACCAACUUGAUGGAGUACACUUUAUUUGUAAAUUCACAUAAUUUUCCACUACUCUACAAUUUGUUACAGUUUCUCAGUUCUUACUAGAAAAUAGCUACCAACAUCCCUGUUUAUAAUAGUGCAAAACCUAAUUUAAUUAGGUCUAGAAAACAUAUUACUAUAUUAAUUUAGACUAAAAAUCAUAUUUAAUUAUGAAUAGAAUAAAUAUCAAAUUCUAAACAUAUUUAAUUUCAUGCUCCAAUUUUAUAUUAUUAUUUUAACACAAAUUUAGUUUAUUCAUUGGGGUUUUUUAUUGGUUGGACUUAGAUUUUAUGUGUGUUUUGUUGCUAUGACCAAAAGUUGUCUUUCCUUCUUUGUGUCCUAUCAUUUAGCGAAGUAUACUGAGAUGCAUUCCCUCUGAUGACUGUAACACGAGGUUGAGAAAACAAAUACAUAAGACCCAAGACAAAUAUUUUCCUUUAUGCUUUAUCUGUUCAAAAUUAUUUGUCACGUAUUUCUUAUUGGUAUUUUUGUUUUUGCUUGUUAUUUUUAACAUGUCAAGAAGAAUAACUUUUUUCUUUCUUUCUAUUUUACUUUUAGCGUUCCUUAUUUAUUCUCCAAAUUUAUUUUAUGGCACAGUAGUAACCAUCAAUUAACAGGAGUACUCUGCUAGAUAAUAAUAUUAAGAGAAAAUGUUCUAUUUCACCCUUGAAUUAUAUCCAAAUGGCUGAGACACACCUCAACUUAAAGGGGGUCCUAUUAUCCCUGAAUUAAUUAAACGUGUAAUUUUGACACCCUUAAUGCUUACGUGGCACAUACGUGACAGAACACACUGAAGGGUCCAUGUAGGCACACGUGUGUGCCACGUAGGCACUAAGGGUGUCAAAAUUACACUUUUAAUUAGUUUAGAGGGUAGUAGGACUCCCGUUAAGUUGAGGUGUGUCUCAGCCGUUUUGGUAUAGUUCAAGGGUGAAAUAGGGUAUUUUUUUCUAAUAUUAACAACUGUUCUCUUAAUAAGAGUGCAAAGUCAACAUUUGACACCUAAAAAUGAACUGGAAAAUUUUAGCUGAACUAGGUGCUCUAUACCAAGUAUCAAUAGUUUCAAAUUUCAAUUAUAAAUUUAUUCCUUUUACAUUAGUUGUAUGCCUUCACUGAACAUCAAACAUGUUAGAAAUGCUUAAAGCACUUGGCUCAAUUGUUGUUCUCUCUUGUUGCCAGUGCCAAAUGCCUAGGAUUUUAUUUUUUUUUUCCACUUGGAAUUUUCUAAAUUUUAUUGCUCAAUUUGUUUGUUAAAAGUAUAUCGAUAGAAAUAUAAAAUUCCAUGAUUAUCUUUAAUAAACAUUUAAAUACUUAAAAAAUAGUUAUCUGAUAGUGCUUUCAUUGAUCUAUUAGUCCAUGGAAGUUUACUUUGAAGAGGAGGUACUUACGAACAUCCUCAGUAGGUUACCUGUGCAGUCUCUUCUUCGAUUCAAAUGCGUUGCAAAUUUUUGAAAAACAUUGGUUGAUGAACCGUUUUUCAGGAUGAAGAACUUACAUCAAACCAAGAAUGAAAAAAAUAUCAAAAAAUUUCUCUUGUAUCAACUGCGCCCUAUGGAGACUAUAUUUUCUAUUCAUUCUUGUUCUUUAUCAUCGGCUCAACUAGUUGAGGAUGUCCGGAAACUGGAUUUCCCUUCCAAUGUUGAACCACGGUGUUGCCAAGUCUAUUGCUGUUGUGAUGGCUUGGAUAUUAUCAGGAUUUCUCAAAGUAAUGAUGAAAUCCACGUACCUUUGCUAUGGAAUCCAUCCACGGAAGAAUCAAUAUUCCUUCUUGUCACCCCCUUUUUAAAUCAAAAAGAUUAAAAUUUUGAAGUUCGAAAGAAUUUUAUUAGUAAAGUGACAAAAUAAAGAUUUGUCUCGAAAAAGGAUUCAUUUUGUUUCAAUUAAAUUUAGAGUCGCCACUUGAUACAAGAUCGACAAGGAAUACAAAAACAACACCAAAAUCAGUCCACAAGUUGAAAGAACAGUGGACCCUUUUGAUGACCACUCUCGGAUUCGCUACCAACAACAAGAAUACAGAUUUCGUGGUGUAUUUGACACCAAAUCAGAGACCCAAAUUAAUAUUAACAACAAUUUAUGAAGAACAAGAUGGACAACAAUAAUUUAAUAAUAACAACACACGGGUUACAAGAGAAACAAUACACCACACGGCUACACGAUUACAACAAAGGAAAUGAUAGAGAGUGUGACAUACACUACUACAAAGACCAAGAACCUAAGUGUAUUCAAGCACAAAGACCCUUUAUAAAGAUAGUAGAAACACCUACACUAUGCGUGGACACAAGAGAGGAACUCAAUCCGUCUAGCACCCAACGAUCCAAGCAAACAAAUAACAAAAGUGAUUGCACACCUAAGUUGUUUUCAGCCAAGUCUCUAUGGAAGAGAGAACUUGUGUUUUUCAAGUGUGUUAUACAAUCUUCAAUAUAAAAAAACUAAGUAAAGUAACCCUAAAAUGUUUCUUAUAUAGUGUAUUACAAAUAGAAGGCAAAAAGUCCAAAAUGCCCCUUAGAGAUUAGGUGCCCCUCUAGUGUGAAUUAGUGGCUGUUUUGAUAUGUUUUAAGCCCUUAAUUCCACUUCUCUUGCACACACACAAGGAUGAAUUCAAUACGAAUCCUCAUAAGUCCAUCUACGUGAUCACACUUGUGUCAUCCUCUCCAUCUUGAAAGGAAUUUGUCCACAAAUUCAAGCAAUCAUCACCCGCAAGCUCUCCUCUUUGAAUCAUCUUUUCAAUGUUCCUCCCAAGGUUAGGAUGUUCAACCAAGGGUUUCAUGAGGUCAUCAAGCUUGCUACUUGGACUUGUAUGUUCUUUAACCUGCACAUAAGAAGAAAGGAUGCUAGGCAAAGUGCUAGCAUCUUGGUUAGUAGGAAACAAAAGGUCUUUGUGGGCAAGCCCUACAAUCCUAACUCUCGGCUUCUCUUCUUCACCCUCCUCACUCUCGGCUUCUUCUUUCAAACCUCACUAAGCAUGAUUCUCCUUUCCAUAUACAUAGGCACAUCACACUCUCCAUCCACUAGCCAAAUAUCUUCCCCACCUUCAUCAAUUUCCAGCUCGGCCUCAAGCUCUCCAUCUUGAGCUUUCUCAUCACCCUCAUUCGAUUCAAGUCCUACCUCCUCACCAAGGUAAGACAAUUUUCCAUCCCUAAGGAUUACAUUCCUCCGGUUUGGGCACUUACUAGCCUUGUGCCCCCACCCUUGACAUUUAAAACAUUGAAAUCCCUUAGGACGAGAAGUAGAAUUUGGUUUACCUUAAUUUCUUGGAGGAUACUUUUGGGAAGUCUUGAUUUCAGUUUGUACAACCUUGUUCUCAGUUUGGUUGGCAUUGGAUGAAUGAUAUUGAUGUUGGUGCCACUCCGAGAAAGAUCCUUGGUGAUUCUUGGGUUUGGAGGUCGAGAGCUCCCUUUCAAUUUCCAAGGCUUCUUGGAAAAUGCCAUCGAUUGUGUCAAACUUGUGGAGGCUCAUCCGAGAAUCUAUGUACCUAUUCAACCCAACUUUGAAUCAUAUAAUAUCAUGGCUCACUUGUUCUCCUCUAUGGUCAAGCUUCAACAUCAAUUGUUGAAACUCGUCAUAGUAUGCCAUGACACUUUUGUUUCCUUGCCUCAAGUUGUACAACUUGGCAAGAAGUUCUUGUUUGUAGCCCUCAGGUAAGUACCUUUGACGCAUAAGGUACCUCAAUCUAAACCAUGGAGGUGGCCGCCCGCCAAUAAACAUAUCACCAAACCUCUUCACAUACACCCACCAAGUGUUUGCAUACCCUUCAAAGUGAGCGAUUGCAUAACAACUCUUCUUCUUUUUAGUUAGAUCAUUCACUUGGAAUAUCCUAUUACAAGAUGACUCCCAAGCAAGAUAUAUCUCAGGAUCACUCUCACCCUUGAAGAUUGAAAGACUAACUUUGAUGGAAUUGAGGCCAAGCUCUUGGGUUUGGUUACCACCCCUCACUUCUCAGCCCAAAUCACCUUGCCUACCCCUCUCCUCUUUUUCCCUCAAGUAAGCAUCACCAUAACCCCCUAACCCCCAUGGUGUUCCUCCUUACCAUAACCCUCAAAAUGAUUUGAUGGAUUUGGAUUAAGUGGAUUCGAAUUUAGAGGAUAGUAAGGCCUUUGGUUCAAUGGAGUUUAGAUCUGAAAGUGAGGCCUUUAGAUAAGUGAAGGGUUCGGGUUUGGUGGCAUUUGGGUUCCAAAUCCGUCAUGUUGGACUUAGUGAAGUGGAGGGAGGGUUGCUCUAUUAUACUCAUGAUUUUGGGGAACAUUUGGUGGUUGGCUUGGUGAAUUGUUCAUUUGGUGCAAGGCCUUGGGAGUAAUGGUUGGGGAAAUGUUUUGAGGGGUGGAAGGUCGACUCCUUUGACUUUCCACAUGUUCUAAUCUCCCACUCAUUGAUGCUACAUCCGUAUCUAAUUUCUCAAGACCCACAUUCAACCUAGACACACUUGGGACAUAGUUUCAAGGUGAGCCAAAAUGAGAUUGAUAGCAUUAUUAUCCAUUGUUUGAGCAUUUGAAGCCUCGGGUUCCAUUAAGGUUGUACCGAAAAUAACCCUUCAAGUUUCUUCAAACUCAUGCUCAACAAUGGUGGAUGACUCAAACCUCCAAUUUAGCUCAAAUUAAAACACUAUACUCCUAUAGUGUUAUAGAACACAAAUCUAACACUAAAAAACACAAAAAAAAACAUAAAAUCAAAAACUCAAAAUUUGACCUAGGGUCAAAAACGAGUUUAGUAUUUUUUUUUUUGGGGGGGGGGGGGGAUUUUUUUUUUUUUGAUCGAUUUUGACACUUCUUUUUUGUUGGGAUUUUCAUUUUCUAGACUCUAAUAGUGUUAGGAAACAAGGACCUAACACUAGAACACACAAAAAUCAAGUUUUUUUGAAAAAUCCUAAUAACGUGAACAAUAACUUUUUUCUUUUUUUUCUUUUUUUUCAUUUUCAAGAUAACAAUCCCAAGAUUGAUUUUGUUGGAGUAAAAUCAAACCUUGCUUUGAUACCAAAUGAUACAAGAUCGAUAAGGAAUACAAAAACAACACCAAAAUCAGUCCACAAGUUGAAAGAAUCGUGGACCCUUUUGAUGACCACUCUCGGAGUCGCUACCAACAACAAGAAUACAAGAUUUCGUGGUGUACUUGACACCAAAUCAGAGACCCAAACUAAUAUUAACAACAAUUUAUGGAGAAAAAUAUGUACAACAACAAUUUAAUAAUAACAACACACGGGUUACAAGAGAAACAAUACACCACACGGCUACAAGAUUACAACAAAGGAAAUGAUAGAGAAUGUGAUAUACACUACUACAAAGAUCAAGAACCUAAGUGUAUUCAAUCACAAAGAAUCUUGACAAAGAUAGUAGAAACACCUACACUAUGCGGUGGACACAAGAGAGAACCUCAAUCCAUCUAGCACCCAACGAUCCAAGCAAACAAACAACAAAAGUGAUUCCACACCUAAGUUGUUUCCUAGUUUCAGCUAAGUCUCUAUGGAAGAGAGAACUUGUGUUUUUCAAGUGUGUUACACAAUCUUCAAUAUAAAAAAACUAAGUAAAGUAACCCUAAAAUGUUUCUUAUAUAGUCUAUUACAAAUAGAAGACAAAAAGUUCAAAAUGCCCCUUAGAGAUUAGGUGCCCCUCUAGUGUGAAUUAGUAGCUAUUUUGAUAUGUUUUAAGCCCUUAAUUCCACUUCUCUUGCACACACGGAAGAAUUCAAUACACAUCCUCAUAAGUCCAUCUACGUGAUCGCACUUGUAUCACCACUUGACAUAAUCCGGUGUGCCAAGUCACCUUUGAAAAGUCUUUUUUCAAAAUGAUUUUGACUCUUUUAAACUGAUCCGCGAAUAGAGAUUCCGGUUAAAAAAUUUUGUUGACCGAGAGGAAGGUGUUAGGCACCCCUCGAUCUUGUGGUUCAACCACAGUCGCUUGGUGGAGCAUAUCGACUAAUUUGACAUUAUGAAUAUAUAAACCACAUAAAAACACACAAAUCAAUCAAUCAAACAAACAACAACAACAACAACAAUAACAACAAACCCAGUGUAUUGCAAAAUUAUAGUGUCCAAUUCAAUUAUUAAAACCCAAAAUGAAAAAAGGUACUGAAAAGUAAACCUUCACUAAUCCUAAACUAUGCUCCAAUGCUUUACCCGAUGCCUCGGUCCUUCAUCGCGAACGUUCUCCGAGUACAGGAUACCUUGGGGGAUUCCUCAGUGAAUAAAUGCAUAAGAUCCCGUGGCAUUCCAUGGUAAAAUAAAUACAUUUUCUCAGUUUUGUGUAUUAAAAUAGAAAUAACCAUUCAACAAACGUUCACACAUUCAACAAAUCACCAUAUCUAUUUCUACAAUUUGCCUACCCACUUAAUGAUCUAAAACAUGAUACUAUCAAUUUCAACAAUAUCCAACAAUGAAUCAAAAAUAAUCAACGAUCACCUUAUGCAGUUCUUAACUCCUCCCUAAAAUUUCAUUCUUAAUUAAUGAUUACUUAAUUCUUCAUUUAACAAUUCAAUUUUCUCUCUUCAACAUCUUAAAUCACAUCAACCAUACACAUGUUGAAGAUUCAAACAUGGUAAGCACACAAAAACAUUCACAUCCGCAACAAUAAUCAAAACUCGAGAUAAAAAUAGAGAAUAGGAGAAGAAAUGGACCUUCAAAGCUUUCUAUUGACUUAAGAUUAGAAAUAAGAGUCGUCCUGAGAUCCUUAAUAGAUGCCAACUCUUAACUAUGAACCAGCUCAACUGCAAAAUUCCCCCAAAAUUGGUCCAAACACAAAUUCAUGAGAUCAAACUCGCGAUCCAAAGCAAAGACCACAAAAUUCGAAAACACGUACACAAUUUUUAGGGAUAUCAACCCAAAUAACCAAUUUAUAGAUAGUUUGCUGGCCGAUUUUGGGUUUUUCCAGUGAUGGGUCGAGCUGUUGACCUUGUUUUUGCCUCGCCAAAGCUCCGGUGAGCUCGGUGAUGGUAAAGAUCAAAGAAAAUAGGUUGGAUUUCAAGAUCCCAUGUCGACCCUAUUCUCUCCCUCUCUCCCUGUCGAUCCCUGUUUCAUCUAUUUUCAAUCACUAUCCCUCUGUUUUUCAAUCAAAUUCCUUCUCCCUUUUGAAAUCUCGAUCUCUCUUUUUCUUACUGUUCAACCUCUCUCCAUUUUCAAUUUUGUGUAUGUGGGUGUUGUUGUUCAACUGUGGGUCUGCCUAAAAUCCGUGUGUGGUGGUGUAUUCUGUUUUCAGUGUAUUCAAGCCAUGAGAGUCCCCUCUCCUCAAUUCUCUGUAUAUCCAAAAAAUGGGGAGUCCCGUACAGUGGUAAGUGUGUAUGGGUAUUGGGGUCUGAGAAUUGAGAGAGAGUGAUUAUUAGAGAAUUGUGUGUAUAUGUAAUGUGUGUGUGCCCGUGAGUGUGUAUCAUGGUAAGUUUCUCUGAGUGGAAUUGUGUAUGGGUCUCUCCAUUUUCUAUUUUUGUGUGUUUAUCCGAUGCCCUCUCCAUUCUGUUGAAAGAAAGAAAAAAACAUGAAUAAAGAGGUAGGGGAAAGGGGUAGGGGGCCACAUGGGGGUAGGGUGAGGGGGUGUGGGUAGGGGUAGUGAGGUGGGUGACUUAGUUAGGAUAGGGUUGUUAAUUUGUUAUGGAGUUUGUUAUUUUGUCAUUUUGCAGAGGGAUAAUUACACGGGAUAGGGUACGUGGUAAAAUGAGGGUAAAAAAAUUGGAUAAAUUGGAUUUUCGGGGGGACAAAAUUAGGUGUCAACACUUUCCACUCCAGAAUUUCCAGUGGAGAGAUUUUCUUGUUGGGGAAUGAGUUUCGACUCAAAUAGUGGUGACUAUAAGAUCCUCAAGAUUCCCCAAGAUAAAAUUGAAGGUUGAAAAGUACAUGGUGAAAUUCUCACACUGAAAAGUGGUUUUUGGAGAAAAAUUGAUGAACAUCCUGGUGUCAGUCACAAUAUGCUUUAUGUUAUGCAUUCCUUGGCAUUUGUACAUAGGGAAUUUCAUUGGGUUGGUUUUUCAAGAAAUUAUUUUAUAGUUUCACUUAAUAUUUCCGAUGAAAAGUAUGGAGAGAUACCAUUAUCAGAUCGAAUACGCUUGAGCGACCAUAUUGGUAUUUCAAAAUUGGAAGGCAUGCUUUGUGCUUACUCUAAUGAGUAUCAUGGGAACCACACUUUUA